rnacentral:rRNA from 1 species
UACGAAGGGGGCUAGCGUUGCUCGGAAUCACUGGGCGUAAAGCGCACGUAGGCGGGUCUUUAAGUCAGAGGUGAAAUCCCGGAGCUCAACUCCGGAACUGCCUUUGAUACUGAAGAUCUUGAGUUCGAGAGAGGUGAGUGGAACUGCGAGUGUAGAGGUGAAAUUCGUAGAUAUUCGCAAGAACACCAGUGGCGAAGGCGGCUCACUGGCUCGAUACUGACGCUGAGGUGCGAAAGCGUGGGGAGCAAACAGG